AUGCAGUUGAAUGUCUCAUUUUCUAAAUCCUCCCACUACAAAGGAGUGAUACCUAUUGGUCUUGUUCCUUGUUAUCUGCACAAUAUGGCAAGAGCUGAAAUUUUGAUGAUCACAAAACAUGUAACUGAUGUCCAUUGUGCAGUGAGUUUGUGAGUGAGUGAGACCACAUUUCAGAAGAGGAAGGAUAGAAUGAUUAGAGGGAAAAUCCAGAUAAUUAGAAUUGUUUGAAUUCAUCUUUGUGCAUGUUUAGUGAGAGUAAUGGGAAGGGAAUUGCAUUGGGCAGAUGUCACAGAGUGAAUGUGAACUCAGCAACUGAAUGUGAACUCAGCAAGUGGAGUGUAGUUCUGCUGAAAGCUUCCUUCAGUCUUACAGAAAGGAAUCAUUGCAUGUGUUUUAUACAGAUGGCAUGCUUGGUUUUCGGCCAUGAAAUGGCUCUGCCAGCAGUGAACUGGAACUGCAUGUUCUUGUAGCUCAUGUUGGAAAGGCACAUUGAAUGGAGGCCCCCUGUAGUUUUAUAGUUCACCGUGAUCUUUUGGGGGCACUAGAAUGGAGAUCUCGUUAAGCUUACUAUGCAGUGGAGCUCCGUUCAAUUUAUUGGUAAAUAUUAGUUAUUAAAGUACUGCAUGUUUCUGCAAAGAUGCUCACAAUGUGUUCUGAAAAAUCUUUGUUUUCUUUUAGCAUUACAGUGAAUUCUUCCUAAUAACCAUUUCUGCACUAUCUGGCUUCCAAUAAUGCUUAUCACGUCUGUACCUCUCAUGAAUUAAUUAAGGUGGUGUCCUUCUAUUUGUGCAAGAAUCUCGUGUUCUAGAUGAUUAACAUGCAGUGAGUUUUAUUCAUAAGACGUGGUUUAUUCAGUAGUAUUUAGCUGAAGCUGUCCAGGAAGAGCUGUUUGCAUUGCAGAAGUAAUAAGCUUAGUUUUCACCUUAAAAGGACGUUGCGUUUGAGCUCCCCCUACUGUGUUAUUUUUUGUAAGCAGGAACUGCAUUUCUGCGUUUCUUCAGACAUGGCUCUGCUCUGUCAGGUUUCUCGACUAACAAAUCGAGCUUAACGCCACCUGCAGGAGUUUGGUUCAGAAAAAGGUGAGUUUGAGAUGUUAGGGCUUGUGAUCUGCUGAGACAGAUGGGUGCUGGCACGAGAACACCCCUCUCAGAGAUCCAGAAAGACAGAUUCCAGUGUUAGCGCUGGAAGCCUUGGGGGGGGGGGGUUGAAAUUGAAACGUGUUAGUUAAGUAUUUAAAUUGGCAACAACUGGGGACUUUGGACUGGUCAGACUUUUUGUGCACAAAAAUGUGCACAAAAAAAACCACACUUCAGUUAUUUUCAGUAUGAUAAAAUUACCUUGGGCUGCAUUCUGGUAGACUGGUGAAACAUAGCUGGGGAGCCAGGGGGUACAAUGAGUAAAAAGAUGCUCAUUAAAUAUUGUAAUCAGUGGUGGUCUCUGUUUAAAUUAGAGAGAGGGGAGAAAUGGCCUAUUAAGGUGCUCUGAAUUGUAGCACUCUUUUGCAAUUAAUGUUAUUCCUGAGAAGGGAACAUAAAUGGGAUGGAGUGGAGUACACAGAUAUAUUCUUUACCCUUAAAAAGCACUCUGAGUGGCAGCAGGAAUGUGGGCUGGGACCUCCCCAGGACCCUGUAAUUUUAGCCCUGGAAAAUGAAAACAAAAGAGAAGGUUUUGGCCAGCUCAAGUGAUGGUGCUCUGUGUACAAUACAGGACAAGGGUGUAUAAAAUCAGAGAAAGUGAGGAGCCCUGAGGAAUUGCCAGAACAUUAUUAUCUUCCCAGUGAGAGUUAAACAGAAGGAUGAAGAGAGUGACCAAGAGGUGGGGACCCUUCCUGACAGUCGUUAACUAGGGGUCAUUGAAAGAUAACUCAGGCUCCAUUGUGGAAAACAGUGGGACCAGAGGGGAACCCCCAUUAAUUUUUUAAUGUUUUCCUCCUUUUAUCUGGAAACGUGGAAAAAAAGUGGAAAAAAACCACAUCAAAAUGAUACCAUUAAUGUAAACCACCACUUUCAGUUUUUGAUUAAGUAACAUAAUCCUGGCAGGCUGACAUCCAAUUGUUAUUAGAUCAAAUGACAGAAACAGAGAAACAGUUAAUUUUAAAAACAUCACAGGGUUUUGCCAGCGACAGCCUGAAGGAAGAAGGGCAGGAUAUUAAGGGUCAUUUCCCUUUGAAGGACCCACAUUGGGUCUUAAUUGGGCUGCUGGAUGUGAUCUUCUGCUAGCUUAAUAGGGGAUGGAUUGUGAAGGGAAAGGAAAGGGCCUUUCUGAAGAUGAUCAACUGGUCAGCCCUGUAUGCAAUAAGAUAAAGUCCAAAGGAAUCCCCAUCUGAGUUUUUGUACAAACUGUGAUAUACCAUGAGAAGGCAUACCGAGGGUCAGAAAUAGGGAUGCAACAAUUAAUUUCCCUGUUCAUCAUCCAAGCUGCAAAUGACAUCUGAUGAAAGCUGCAGAAAUUGAAAUUAUUACACAACAGGAACUUGGAAAGUUUUCUAGAUGAAGCACGGAGAAUGUAUAGUAAUAGGGAGGAGGAAGAUGGGAAAAGAGAUAAAAGGAUGCUGGUGGUGGCUGUGUGAGAACUAGGGAAAUGAGAGCUAUUGGACAGAGGAAGCCCUUGGAGAAGGACCAGUGCGCCAUCUGUCGACAGCGAGGACACUGGAAGAACCAGCGUAUGGCAAAAAGGAUCAUGAACACCUUUAGGAAUACAAUGUAAACAAGACUGAACUUUGCUGUUCUGAGAUAAAGAUAAGUAUGUUUUGUCAUCUACCACUUUCUGUUCUAAUCAGUAGUGCUUGCGUUGCUGCAGGUAUUGUAACACCUAAUCAUGCUAUAAACAAGGCUGAAGAGAAAUUUUUUUCUGGUAUGACUUGAUUUUUUUUAUACUUAUCUGCAGUUAGAUAAAGUGGUUGGACAACUUCAAAAUUAUCCUUUUAUACUUAAUGAGUCUCUGAUAAAGCUGCAGAGGAUAUGACUAGUGUAUCAUAAAAGCAGAAGCGCUUAACUGCAGGUGCUAGGCAGACACACAUGAAAUCACAUUUAACUGAUUUUUAACCUUAUGAAAUCCCUUCACUUGUGACAUCUAACAUUGAAAUCUUGUGUGCUGUCUUAAAUUAUUUCAGUAUUGGUAUCAUUGUUCUUUGCCAAAAACUGAGAAAUAUGAACUUUGUUUCAAUACAGAUACUCCAGUGUGGGAGAAAACUAGGCUGCUGUAGUGUAUAGGAUAAAUCAGCAAGUGACUAGGUGAGCUAAUUCUAGCCUCACUACACCUUAAUUAUGAAGAUGAAACAGGUUGAUUUGGAUAGGAAAAGGAAAUCACAGGUUCUGGGAAUGAUGAGAAAUGAAGGGUUUUGUUGAGAUCAGUGCUUAGUAGAAGUACAACAGACUGUAUAGAAAUUUAAGAUAAAAGCUAUAGAAUUAGAUAAUUAAUAGACUUUCUAAUCUUAUGAUGAAUGGCACCUUUCUGUUAAAUCUCUCAGAAGAAUAAGAAAUGCUGUAUUUUUAAACACAAGUAGAACCCAUUAAGAGGGGAGAGCACGUGAUAGUACUGCUGAUGCAUACGAUGUGCAAUAGCAGGAGAAACUAUUGUAAGAAACAGAAAUACUCCUGCAUUUAAAAGUAACAGACUGCCAGUCUCAUAAAGGAAGAACAAGUAUAUUAUUGUAAUUAGGCAUGUAAAAGCCGCUGCAUUUUCUAUGAGGUCCCUUUUUUGGUUAUUUUAGAUUCCUGUCAAUGUUACUUGUUAACGUUGGCUGGAUUUCAAAGAUGUCAUCUUGAAAUUUUACCAAUACCAUUCUGAUAGAGAGACUCAAUCAACUCUCCAAAGAACAGUCCCAUUGCCACAGUAGAGUUAAAACAUUCUUGUCUGAUUUCAAAAUUGCCAUACACACUCUAUUAUAAUUAAAAUGAACAUAUAGGAACUAAUUUAUACUGUUACAACCAUGCUGAAAUGAAAAAUAGAUUGUUUUCAAAUUCAGCUUAUGCUUUAAAGAUGAAAGAAUCACAAAGUACUUUGAUAGGCCUGUACUUUUCAGUGUGCAUAUAAAUUCAUGAAGGAUGUAGGACUGGCAUAUAUAAAUAAUGGGAAUUUUUGAAUACUAUCAAUGCAAUAUAUUGCACUGUAAGAUAAUAGAGAUCCAUUUAACAACAUCUGUAAAUGUUUUGAUUUUUUAAUUUUUUUUAAUUUUUUUUAUUUUUUAUUUUUUAUUUUUUGAUGAAGGAAUGAUUGUACAUUCAAUCUUUCAGUCAGAUGCAUCAGAGCAGUAUGGGGCAUGACCUGCUGGAGUAUUCCACACCAUAACGUUAUGUAAUGCACUAGGAGUUAAAGAGUUAAUGCUGCAGCUCCAUGGAUCAUCUGUAGUUCUGGGCAGACCUGUCUUAGUGGGAAAGAAGAACUACAUACCCUGGAGAAUUGUGCUUCUGUUUUCUUCUCAGAGAGAGGUAAAAUCUGUCUGCAGAUUACAAGAUACC